rnacentral:precursor_RNA from 1 species
ACCCUCAGUCCGUAUUGGUCUCUAUGGCAUCCAUAGAGGCCAUUCGGCUCUGAGGUCC